rnacentral:lncRNA from 1 species
CACCCUUACCAGCACAGGGGGUGGUUACCUCCUCUCUUCUCUGGCCCUAAUCACCAGCCACCUUUCUCCAGAACAGGCACCGAAGGUCUGCAGAAAAGAGCUUGCUGGUUCUUGUCCUGAGGAUGAUGAAAGAGUUACUGAGAGGGCUGGAGUUUAUGAGAGAGAACAAAGCAAAGCCCUCAGUAAACAGGCGAGGAAAGAGGACCCCAAGCGCGUGCCGGAAUCUAGAAGCCUAUGCACAGCUUCUGGGGACAAGAAAGGGCGAAGAAAGGGCGGAGAAAGGGGAGAGGACCUGAGAAAAUGCAGGUGUGCAGCUGCUUCCCAGGCUUCUUGUCAGCAGAUUUUAUUAUUUCUUUGUCCUUUGCACUCUGGUGUUUUGAGGCUUCUCCUGGUUUACGCAGGGACUUGUUGUGUGUGCUUUGGGCUUAGUUUCCUGUGGACCCAGGUCCUGGCCUUCCUUCAGUUUACUCCGUUUAGCUUACCCAGGCCCUUGCCCUUUGUCCUUUAUCUCCUGGCCUCAGUGGGAUGUGAAGUUUCAAAAACAAGCCCCUUCUUCACCUCCACAGUUGUUCGCAUUCUUUUCGUAUUUUUCAGCAUUUUAAAACUUCUUGAUGUACAUUUUGUGUUCUUCUUAACCUUAUUUUUAGGUAUUUUAUUUCUUCUUGUUUUCUUUACAUGGACUGUCUUCCAACUAGCGGUGAAGAUCAUUGAUUUCUAUAGAUUUCAUUCUGCACAGAAAUUUAUUUUUCUGCCUAGAGAGUUUUUUAGCCAAUUGUCAUACUUCUACUCCUGAAAGACAAUAAUAUAAUCUACAUAUGAUGGAUUGAGGAUGUAGCUUAGUGGUAGAAUGCUUGCUUAGCAUACACGAUGCCAUAGGUUUGAUCCCCAGCACCGAAAAGGAAAAAAAUAAAUCAAUAAAAAUGAUACUCUAACUUUCCUCAUUUUCAAUUUCCAAAGUUCUCCAUUUUCCUCUAAUCUGAGUCUACUGACUAAUUCAUCCAGAAUAAUGUUAUUAACUAUGGUGAUGAUAAAGGAUAUAGUUACUUUAUUUUUUAUUUCAACCAAGAUGAUAUUAAUAUUUCCCAAUUCAUCAUGAUCGACAUGAUUAAAAUGUCCUUUUAUUUCCACAUUAUUGAAAAUAUUCAUAAUUAUCCCAGAUUUUUGAUGUUUCCUUUCCUAUCUAUGAAUAUUACUAUACGAUUUUCCUCAUUUAAUUAAUAUUGAAAAUUACAAUAUAUAGAGUGUGAUGUACCAUGUACAGGUGCAAAUUCCCUAUGGUGAGUGUUACCAUUAUGUAUGCUUAAAAUGUACUGAUAAAUGUUUUGCUAGAUUAAAAAAUUAUAAUAUAGAUAUAGUACUAACACUGAACCGUCUUUGCAUUUUUAGAAAAAGUAAUACU